ACUAGUAGUAUAUCAGAUAUACCUCGAUGUGUAUAAGCUUAAAAACUGAAUAGAAACUUAUAGUUUCAAAAUUUUGUAUUCUAGGAUAUUGCGAGGACGCAGAAUUCGAUUCCGAAUUUGACAUCUGAACUUCACUCUUGGUUCCGGGAAUUGAAAGCUUGGAUACUUAUUUAUGUUUUCCUUUUGAAAUGUAUUCGGAUACUAUGACUUAUUUUGUGGGCUGUAAUGCGUUAAUUGGGAUAAUGUACCUUCCUUUUGGAUUGCCACUUGAAGCUGGAAAAUGUGUAAACCCUAAUUUGAUUGUUUGGCUUGUAAGUUUGUAUUAGGGAUUUAUGUAUUUAUCUAUCCGGAUUGGUACGACUUUAUACA